UCUGUAAAGUUCCUUCGACGAGUCGAGUAGUUUGGGAAUGCUGCUCUAAAUGGGAGGUAUAUGUCUUCUAAAGCUAAAUACCGGCCAGAGACCGAUAGCGCACAAGUAGAGUGAUCGAAAGAUGAAAAAACUUUUGAAAAGAGAGUUAAAAAGUACGUGAAAUUGUUGAAAGGGAAGCGUUUAUGACCAGACUUGGGCUUGGUUAAUCAUCUGGGGUUCUCCCCAGUGCACUUUUCCAGUCCAGGCCAGCAUCAGUUUUCGCCGGGGGAUAAAGACUUCGGGAAUGUGGCUCUCUUCGGGGAGUGUUAUAGCCCGUUGUGUAAUACCCUGGCGGGGACUGAGGUUCGCGCAUCUGCAAGGAUGCUGGCGUAAUGGUCAUCAACGACCCGUCUUGAAACACGGACCAAGGAGUCGUCUUCGUAUGCGAGUGUUCGGGUGUCAAACCCCUACGCGUAAUGAAAGUGAACGCAGGUGAGAGCUUCGGCGCAUCAUCGACCGAUCCUGAUGUUCUCGGAUGGAUUUGAGUAAGAGCAUACGGGGCCGGACCCGAAAGAAGGUGAACUAUGCCUGUAUAGGGUGAAGCCAGAGGAAACUCUGGUGGAGGCUCGCAGCGGUUCUGACGUGCAAAU
rnacentral:rRNA from 1 species